UACGGAGGAUCCAAGCGUUAUCCGGAAUCAUUGGGUUUAAAGGGUGCGUAGGCGGCCUGACAAGUCUGAUGUGAAAUCCCUGGGCUCAACCCAGGGCCUGCAUCGGAAACUGUCGGGCUUGAGUAUGGGAGAGGUGAGUGGAAUUUCCGGUGUAGCGGUGAAAUGCGUAGAUAUCGGAAGGAACACCGGUGGCGAAAGCGGCUCUCUGGCCCGGUUCUGACGCUGAGGCGCGAAAGCGUGGGGAGCAAACAGG
rnacentral:rRNA from 1 species